UGCAGCCGCGGUAAUUCCAGCUCCAAUAGCGUAUAUUAAAGUUGUUGCAGUUAAAAGCUCGUAGUUGAAUUUCGGGGUUAGUAGAUUGGUCGUGCCACGGGUAUGUACUGGUCUUACUGAUUCCUCCUUCCUGAUGAACCGUAAUGCCAUUAAUUUGGUGUUGCGGGGAGACUGGACUGUUACUUUGAAAAAUUAGAGUGUUUAAAGCAAGCCUACGCUUGAAUACAUUAGCAUGGAAUAAUGAAAUAGGACGUUCGAUCCUAUUUUGUUGGUUUCUAGGAUUGACGUAAUGAUUAAUAGGGAUAGUUGGGGGCAUUAGUAUUCAAUUGUCAGAGGUGAAAUUCUUGGAUUUAUUGAAGACUAACUACUGCGAAAGCAUUUGCCAAGGAUGUUUUCAUUAAUCAAGAACGAAAGUUAGGGAUCGAAGACGAUCAGAUACCGUCGUAGUCU
rnacentral:rRNA from 1 species